AGCGAACGCUGGCGGCAGGCCUAACACAUGCAAGUCGAACGAAGUCUUCGGACUUAGUGGCGGACGGGUGAGUAACACGUGGGAACGUACCUUUUGGUUCGGAACAACUCAGGGAAACUUGAGCUAAUACCGGAUGAGCCCUUAGGGGGAAAGAUUUAUCGCCGAAAGAGCGGCCCGCGUUAGAUUAGCUAGUUGGUGAGGUAAAGGCUCACCAAGGCUACGAUCUAUAGCUGGUCUGAGAGGAUGAUCAGCCACACUGGGACUGAGACACGGCCCAGACCCCUACGGGAGGCAGCAGUGGGGAAUCUUGCGCAAUGGGCGAAAGCCUGACGCAGCCAUGCCGCGUGAAUGAUGAAGGUCUUAGGAUUGUAAAAUUCUUUCACCGGGGACGAUAAUGACGGUACCCGGAGAAGAAGCCCCGGCUAACUUCGUGCCAGCCGCCGCCGUAAAAC
rnacentral:rRNA from 1 species